CUAUUAUUGUUGUAGAUGAUUGAAUACUGCUGUUAUUACUUUGACUGCUGUAUGUAAUCUGACAUGUUGACUGUGUCUGUGCUGACAGGAGGAUGGCCCGAGUUUGAGAUCCACAGGACUCAGCUCUGAAUGUGCAGAUGUCGAUGGUAGCAGUGAGCCUGAACAUGAGGAGGAGGCAAAAAGUCGCCAUAUGCUUUAUAUACAGAAGCUCAAAUCACACCAUGACAUGUGUGAAAAGCGCUACGAGGCGGCACAGGCAGAGAGGCAAAAGGAGGAGAGGAAGAGGACCUUGGUUCUACAUUGUCAGCAGGAUACAGCACCGGACAGAGAAGCUCUCGGGUUGGUGUCAGAGGAAUCAAGUUUUGAAUUUAGUGAGGAUGACUAUGUCCCUGAAUGUGGAGUAACCAGC